UAUUUUGUAAACACUCCUACAUCAAAUACCACUUUUGUCGUUUAGCAUUUUUCACUUUACUAUUUUAUAGUUUAAAUUGUAUAACUUUUGUACUCUAUUAUUUUUUUUUUUUUCAUCAGUACUUUUAUUAACUCUUCGUUACGCCAUAUACAAAAAACUUCAAAUACCCUAUCCAUGAUUUAUUAAAAAUUCACUUUAGUAGCUUAUGGUUUAUUGAAUUUUACUUAAGUACUCUGUGGUUUUAAUUUUAUCACUGAUAUAACAACAAAAAAUUAACGGAGGUGAUAACGGAAAAAGAAAAACAAAACCAUAUGAUACUAAAGUGAUAUAUUUUAAACCAUAGGGUACUAAAGUGAGAAAGUGCGAAACUACAAUGGAGGUAUUUGAAGCUUUUCUUUAAAAUAAUAAUAUUAAUAAAGGUAAAUUACACCUUAGUUAAAACACACAUUUAGUCCUUUAAUUAUAAGGCAAGUGACAAUUUGGUUCUCAAAUUUUAUUCUAAUAUAAUUUCUGGCUCGAACUUUCAAAAAUAUUGCAGUUAAUCAUACAAUCUAAUUUAGUUCAUCAAAUAUUGACGCAUUUUUGAUGAAAAAAUGAUAUAUCAUUUUAAUUAUUGGUGCAUCAUCAAUCACAAUACUAUUACCUUAUUUAUAUUAUUAGCAGUAUACUAAUAUUUAGUCAAGUAAAUUUGAUUGUGCGACUUGAUUGCAAUAAUUCUAAAAGUUCGAACUAAAAAUUACAACAAAUUAAAAUUUAAGAAUUAAAAUGUCACCCUCAUAGUUUGAGGAUGUUUAAAAUUUACCCUUAACAUUUUUUAUUCUCAAAUAAUAAGGUGCACAGCACUUUAAUUCUCAAACUUUAACCGGUAAUAAUUUCUGGCUUGAGCUUUCGGAAUUGUUAUAAUUAAAUUCUACAAUAUAAUUUAGUUGAUAAAAUAUUAAUGUACCGAUAAUGCAAAAGUGACGUUAAAUCUUAAUCACUGUAGUGUUAUUAAUUAUAGUAUUGCUACAUUAAUUCUAUAUUAACGACACGUCAGCAUUUAGUCAACUAAAUUGGAUUGCGGAACUUGAUUAUAAUAAUAAAAAUUCGAACUAGUUACUACAAAUUAAAGUUUGAGAACUAAAGUGUCAGUCUCUUUAUAGUUUGAGGAACAAAAGUGUAAUUUAUUCUAAUAAUAAUAAAUUAAAAUUUUAAAAAAUAUAUUGGGUAUAAUUUUAUG
rnacentral:lncRNA from 1 species